rnacentral:rRNA from 1 species
UACAGAGGGUGCGAGCGUUGUUCGGAAUUAUUGGGCGUAAAGGGCGCGUAGGCGGUGCGGUAAGUCACCUGUGAAAUCUCCUGGCUCAACUGGGAGCUUGCAGGCGAAACUGCCGUGCUGGAGUGUGGGAGAGGUGCGUGGAAUUCCUGGUGUAGCGGUGAAAUGCGUAGAUAUCGAGAGGAACACCUGCGGCGAAGGCGGGUUGCUGGGCUGACACUGACGCUGAUGUGCGAAAGCUAGGGGAGCGAACGGG